rnacentral:rRNA from 1 species
UGCCAGCCGCCGCGGUAACACGUAGGGACCCCGCGUUGUCCGGCUUUAUUGGGCGUAAAGAGCUCGUAGGCUGUUUCGUCAGUCGGAUGUGAAAACUCAGGGCUCAACCCUGAGACGCCAUCUGAUACUGCGAUGACUAGAGUCCGGUAGGGGAGCAUGGAAUUCCUGGUGUAGCGGUGGAAUGCGCAGAUAUCAGGAGGAACACCAAUGGCGAAGGCAGUGCUCUGGGCCGGAACUGAAGCUGAGGAGCGCAAGCAUGGGGCGCAAACGGGAUUAGAUC